UGGCGAACGGGUGAGUAACACGUGAGCAACGUGCCCAAGGACUCUGGAAUAACUUCGGGAAACCGGAGCUAAUACUGGAUACGAGACGUAAAGGCAUCUUUAGCGUCUGGAAAGAAUUUCGGUCUUGGAUCGGCUCACGGCCUAUCAGCUUGUUGGUGAGGUAAUGGCUCACCAAGGCGACGACGGGUAGCCGGCCUGAGAGGGUGACCGGCCACACUGGGACUGAGACACGGCCCAG
rnacentral:rRNA from 1 species